rnacentral:rRNA from 1 species
ACGACACUGCUUCAGAAGGCGGCGGAGAUGGGCGCCACCUCGUCAAGCUCCUCGUUCCUGCGUGGGCUGGGCCCGGACAUCUCAUCGUCGUCGCCGGCGUCGACGUCGUCAGGUCAGCAUCAACAGCAGGAGCACCACCACCAGGAGCCCAUGCAAAUGCAGUUCCUGGAGGGGUCUCUACAACAAUGGUUGUCGCGGUUGGAGCCUGAGCCAACUCCGAUGAUGUCGGCCGGGCUGGGACUCGGGUUACCAUACGACUCUACCGGCGGUCUGAUGGGGUUGCCGGAGCUCAUGAUGGGCCAGUCAUCACUGUUCAGCGCCAAGCCGGCCACGCUGGACUUCCUGGGGCUCGGGAUGAGCCCCACCGGUGAAACGACGAGCAGGGGCCUCCCGUGUUCAUGCAGCCCAUGGGCGGCGUGGUCGGCAUGGCCCGGACUGGCGGCGGCGCGACAGAGACGUUCGGCUCCGGCCCGAGCGCUCAUGCCAAGCCGUGGGAGAGGAACCCGAGCAGCUCGCCGAUCCUGUGAAAGGACUGUUGGGCAGUAUCAACACGUA